rnacentral:tRNA from 1 species
CGGGAAAUAGCUCAGCUUGGUAGAGCGCUAGGUUCGGGACUUAGAGGCCGCGGGUUCGAAUCCCGUUUUCCCGACCA